GUAAAAGCACGCAGCAGCUUUCUGCCUUUCAGGGUUAGUUCUCUGGUGAAAGGAUUACACUCCAUAAAACUUGAUCAUUGGAGUUAUAUGAGGUGAAAGAUCUGGUACACUUUCAGUUCACACCCUACUGAUUCUAAUAGCUUUCUGUCUGUCUGAAUUCAAACUAGCGGAAUAAAAUGAAGGAGGGAAGUCGUUGCAGCGUUUCUAGAAAUACAUCUGGACUGAGCUGGACGCUUCCUCCCUGCUAGAUCGGAAGGGCUUAUCCAGGCUGCUGGAUAAGAAAGUCAUUGACACACUUACGCAACUGUGAAUGCUGCUAUCUAUAAUAUCAACCUGCCGGGCAAGAUGUUCCCAUAGACGCAACAGUGGAAUGAAUGACUCUUACAGGGGUAACCAAUUACUUUCCGGUUGGAUUUGAGGCCUGCUCUACACAGAGGAACUCCAUGCCUAGUGCUGUAAACCUAUGGCUGAGGGUUUGAAUAAAUAAAAUCUGAAAAUUUAUACACUG